rnacentral:misc_RNA from 1 species
GGGUCUCAUUUUCGGUCUUAGCUAUGGGGAUUGCUAAACAAAAGAAAUCUGGUUGGGCGGGAGAGAGACCUGGGGAAGACCCUCCAUCGCUCAGGUUAGAGCUUGUAAAACUUUAAGUGAGGGACAGAGAUGGAGAAAGUGUGGAGAAAGUGUAGAGAAGGAACCUCCGUUACUUUUCUUACCUAGGCCUAUUUAAAGGAGAAAUUGAUAGGAGAAUAUUUUAUAGUAUAUUUCAUGGAGGAUAGCAUAUUUUAUAGGUGAGAGCAUAUUCUUUAAGUAGGAGAAUAUUCUUUUUGCUAUUUAUUUAAUAUUGUAUUGGAGGAAUUGUAUCUCUUUUAUUGUAUCAUUGACAAUAUGUGUUGCUUUAGGAAGCGAAUUGUAUGAUUAUAGAGAGAAUUUUUUAAAAAAAAUUAUUUACAAUAAUAUUUUUCAUAUCGAGAAUGAUUGUAAAUUUA